rnacentral:rRNA from 1 species
GACGAACGCUGGCGGCGUGCUUAACACAUGCAAGUCGAGCGGUAAGGCCUCUUUGGGGGUACACGAGCGGCGAACGGGUGAGUAACACGUGGGUGACCUGCCCUUCACUCUGGGAUAAGCCUGGGAAACUGGGUCUAAUACCGGAUAUUCACAUUGUCUCGCAUGGGGUGGUGUGGAAAGUUUUUUCGGUGGGGGAUGGGCCCGCGGCCUAUCAGCUUGUUGGUGGGGUGAUGGCCUACCAAGGCGACGACGGGUAGCCGGCCUGAGAGGGCGACCGGCCACACUGGGACUGAGACACGGCCCAGACUCCUACGGGAGGCAGCAGUGGGGAAUAUUGCGCAAUGGGCGGAAGCCUGACGCAGCGACGCCGCGUGGGGGAUGACGGCCUUCGGGUUGUAAACCUCUUUCGACCGGGACGAAGCGGGAGUGACGGUACCGGUAGAAGAAGCACCGGCCAACUACGUGCCAGCCGCCGCAGUAACAC